rnacentral:lncRNA from 1 species
GUUUUUUGUUCGUUUGUUUUUUGGGGGGCUUCUUGGCAGACACAGGAGCUGGACUACAAAAUUUUGCUGUUGCAAAAUAUUUUAUAUAUUUUAUAUAUGUAUAUACAUUUUAUUUUAUAUUAUAUAUUUUUCUCCUUUAAAUUUCUCCACAGGGUGUCAGGAAAGCCGCUGGUGCCAGAGCUCAAAGUGCCAUUGUUGCUGGGCUAGGGGGUUCUCCUUUCCUUUUCCUAACCUGCAGAGAUGCAGCCAGCAGUUGCCUGUGGGCAAAGGGACUGACCAGAGGGGAGCAAACCCAGCUUGGCUAAUGAGCACCAAUUAAAAACCUGGCCUGGAAUAACCUAGCACAGGGAGGAAUGGUAGAAACUACAGGUGCUGCACAGACACCUCCCAGGGCUGUGGUCUCUGCCCUGAUACAAGACAGAACCAGUGCAGAGUGAGGCUGCUUCUCUCCAGUCACGGAGGAGAUCAAGAACAGAGCUAGGAACAGGAGGACCCCAGCAAAAUGAUUAUAUAUUCUCAUCACAACAUCUUAGAGGUGUGUGGAAGAUACCGUGCUGAAGAUACAUCAGCUUACUACAAGGGUCUUAUGUCCUGUCUUCAACAGAGUUCCCACAAACAAGUGAAUGCUUUGAAGAAAUCUGUACACCUGCAUCUUUCUGGGAAUGUGGUGUCUAGGGUGUUUAGUGCUGGGUGCACUUGCCUGUGGAGCUUAAACUACAUCAGGCAGGGGGUGAGUUUCUUUAGUUUUAUGGCAUUAAAUUUCAUUCAGGCAGAAAUCCUUUAUUUACUUUGAUUAACAUUAACUG